CUCAUUCCAGUCAAUAUCCAUUACAAGGCAUUGCCCUUGCUCAUCAUCACGAUUUCACCUAGUCCAUGGGGCUACAGGACUGCUCCUUCCAGAGGAGUUCCAGAGCCGAGGAGAGACUAGGACGGGAGUGUUGGAGAGCCAAGGGGAGGCUAGGACGGGAGCUGUGUGAGGCAACAGGGACCCAGGGCUAAUGAAGCAAGUCUGCUUCAUAACCAGGUAGCCAGGGCUCCCGCGAAAGAAUCUCCUGUGCAGUGACUGGCUGCUCUGGAGAUCGGCCUGAGGGCCCGCACAGGGGUGCCAUGUGGAAGAGAAACACCAGCCCCACGGAGAAAGGCUGCGACAGUGCCUCCGCUAUCAGAACCCAGGUCUCCUGCUUUGAAAUCCAAAUGAGAAAACUUAAGAUGAAUCAACAGAGAAGAACAACAGAUCAACGUGGGGCUAAUAUCAGUGGCAGGGAAGACCAAUUAACAAAUCCCUGCAUUGUGCUGUUUACUCUCCUAUUCCUAAGGUUAAUUAUGCGAUCAAGUAACAGCUUUCGCCUUGAUUACAGGGCCCUCAGGAAAUAAAAGCGUGUUUCCACUUUACAAGUGUGUUUGCAUUUCGGUCCUGCAGUGGUAGCAGGUACUGGGCUCAGCAAAUAUUGCCUUACACGCGGUUAUCAUCAAAGGAGAGGGUCUUAAUUUAAAGAGCUUCGAGACUAGAUGAGUCAACAGAAGCAUAAUUCGAACAAGUGCUCACACCCACCUGCACAUCUUCUCUCUCCCUGCCCUGGCCUGCUGUCCGUUCUUUCCAGGUGCCGUGGACUGGAAAAUGCCCAGUGGCAGGUCUUCUCCCGCGAUUUCCUCUUGGGAAGAAUCAGUAAGAUUCGCUGCCUGGCCUUACACAUAUGCAAAGAAACAAAAACGUCCCCUGCAUUUCCAGGGGACAUUCUCAGAAAGGUCAUGGCAGCUUGCAUGUUUUUGAGGAAUAUUCUUAUGGCAGGCACCUCACAUGAAUUAGCUCAAAACACGUUCACAAUAGGGGUAGAUGCUAUCGUUAUCAUCAUCUCUCCUUCUGGGUAGGGAAAGGCAUAGAGAGACUGAGAUUAUGCGUACUGCCCCCGCCCAGAGCAGCCCGUCAGAGCCGGAUUUGAACUCAGCAGCCUGGCUCCAAGGGCUGCACAUUGACCACCGGGUGUUGUGCUUCUCCCUCCGGGGCCUGACGUGGGUGCACAAUGUUAGACAGGGGGCUCUUUUAACCCAUUGGAGAAGGACGCCGAGAAGGUGUAUUGUGCCAUUUGUACGCUUCAAGUGAGGUGCACAAGCUACCUCUGCUGCCUGCAAUCACUUCUGAGCAGCCUGCCUCAAAGUAAUGAAACAGAAUACACUUUGGUGCCCUGGGUGCGGUGGCUCCAUUGGGCGUCAUCCCAUGUACCAGAAGGUUGCCAGUUGGAUUCCAGGCCAGGACACAUGGCCAAGUUUCAGGCUUGACUCCCUGUAAAGGACAUGCAGGACACAGCCAAUAGAUAUUUCCUCUCACAUUGAUGUUUCUCUG